GUGACAGGCGUGCGCGGACGUUCCGGGUGGCCAUCCUCGAGGCGUGCCUGGGCAUCGCGGGCAUGCUGGCCAGCAUCGGUGGUGGCCAGUGGCACAAGGCCCAGGGCAGUGAUUUCCUGGAGCAAGUGGCCAGUGAAACCAUCAGUGCAAGAGGGAUCAGUGACCAGCAGGCACCAGAAUUGUCUGGAGAGUUGGAACUGGAAAGAAACUACUGCAGAUGCUUGGCCAGCACCACUGGACUCCAGCUCUGACUUGUGCAGCUGUUCCAGCACUGCCUGUGCUAUGGGGACCAUCAUGGCAGUGGUGGCCGUGUUGCUGAUCCACAUUGACAGGAAGGCAGUCACAGCCAUGAAACCCAUGAGAAGUCUGGAAUGAGAAGGUUUGGAAAAGCUGGAUCAGAACUCAGCACUGCAAUGCUCUAUUUUUGCUGCAAAGAUUCGACCACAAGUGCUGGGUUUGGAACACGCUCAGCAAUUCCCACCCAGCACUUCCUCUUACCCUGGUCUGCUUUGGGAGCGACAUGGUCGGCCUCCAACUGCAGCCUCAUCUGUGGAGUGUAAAUAACAACCUGGAAGGGUCUCAGCUGAUGAAUUGUGCCUAUUCUUCACAAGCAACACGUCCUCAGCGAUCAUUUCCUCUGUCAUGUGAGUCAAAAUACCUGCAAAGAUGCUAGAAAUGAGCUCUCUAAGUGUAUUAUGGUUUGUCUUGUUUGAGCUUUGCCUGUGGCCCAUUAACAGUCCCUUGGAGUUGUCAAAGGAGCAAUGCCAAUUUACGUUAGUUUGGAACAGUUUAUAUAAACAGGUUAAUCUAACACUCUGAAUCGCGUGCUUUGAAUUCUAACAGCAACUUGGUCUUUGCUCACUGAUCUGCUCUUUGAGACAGACCUCAUAGGAAACCAAACAGCACAGCCAAAGCCUCUUUUAUUAACUGAGCUUAUACAUUAUUUUGUCAUUUAUAAAAAGAAGUGUUUUCUAAUGUGCUGUGAAUUAAUAUAAGUGAUCACAUAUUGCUAAUGACAACAUUUCACAGAUCCGACUGCAUUUAAAAUGUUGACUUUUGCUUUGUUUGGAGAGAAGAAAAAACAGGGUUUACGUUUAAAUUUCUACAGCCAUCAGGCUGGGGAGCAGCCCAGGAGAAAAGGACCUGGGGGUGCUGGCUGACAGCUGAACUUGAGCCCGCGUGUGCCCAGGUGGCCAAGGGCAACCUGGCUUGUAGCAGCAAUAGUGUGGCCAGCAAGACUAGGGCAGUGCUGGCCACUGCUGAGGCCAGACCUUGAGUCCUGGGUUCAGUUUUGGGCCCCUCACAACAAGAGAGGCAUUGAGGCGCUGGAGCCUGUCCAGAGAAGGGAACGGAGCUGGGGAAGGGUCUGGAGCACAAGUCUGAUGAGGAGCAGCUGAGGGAGCUGGGGGGGCUCAGCCUGGAGAAAAGGAGGCUCAGGGGGGACUUUAUCAGGGUUAGAGGGGAAGAUGAACAAGGGAUGGCUGAGGUCACUCGUUUUGUUCAGCCUGGAGGAGAUCAAGGGGAACCCUCAUCGCGGUCUGCAGGUUCCUCAUGAGGGGCAGAGGAGGGGCAGGGACUGUUCUCUCUCCUCUGGUGACCAGCGACAGGACUUGAGGGAGUGGCAUGAAGCCAUGCCAUGGGGAUUUAGAUUGGAUAUGAGGGAAAAUUCCUCCACGGAAAGGGUUGUCAAGCCCUGGCAGAGGCUGCCCAGGGCAGCAGCGGAGUUACCAUCCCUAGAGGGAUUUAAGAGUGUGGAUAUGGCACUAGGGGACAUGGUUUAGCGGUAGCCUUGGCCAUGAUGGGUUAACGUCGGUCUCGAUGAUCUCAGAGGGCUUUUCCCACCUCAACAAUUCUAUGAAACAACACGCGGCGAGGGGGGGAAGGUGUGGGGGGGAGCUGAGCGCCGCUUCUUUAUCACCGGACUCGCUGCAGCGGCAACUCCGAGGGAUCCCGGGGACUCGCUGAAUUCCUCCCGGUUCCCGCGGGCGGCGGGGCGGA